UACGUAGGGGGCUAGCGUUAUCCGGAUUUACUGGGCGUAAAGGGUGCGUAGGUGGUUUCUUAAGUCAGGAGUGAAAGGCUACGGCUCAAACGUAGUAAGCUCUUGAAACUGGGAAACUUGAGUGCAGGAGAGGAAAGUGGAAUUCCUAGUGUAGCGGUGAAAUGCGUAGAUAUUAGGAGGAACACCAGUAGCGAAGGCGGCUUUCUGGACUGUAACUGCAACUGAGGCACGAAAGCGUGGGGAGCAAACAGGAUUAGAUACCCUGGUAGUCCACGCCGUAAACGAUGAGUACUAGGUGUCGGGGGUUACCCCCCUCGGUGCCGCAGCUAACGCAUUAAGUACUCCGCCUGGGGAGUACGCUCGCAAGAGUGAA
rnacentral:rRNA from 1 species